UGGUAGGGGGUGUUUGGAGGGGAGCGGUAGUUGUGGAGGCGGGUUUGGAGUUGUUUGAGGUCGCCGGAAAAUGGGUAUUGAGCUGAUGGUUUCAGCUGCUACUGGUUUGGGGUCGUUUUGACGAAGAAAUAAGGGUUGUUGCUGGUGCUGGAGCUUCGCCGGUUAGGGGAGAGAGAAGGGAGAGGGAGAGGAGAGAGAGGCAGCUGGAGAGGAAGAGGAGAGAGAAGGGA
rnacentral:misc_RNA from 1 species